GGCGACUCCUCGAACAGAGAAAUAACAGAGGAAAAAACAGAGAAAUCGAGCGACCUCUCCGUGACGGGUAGGGUUCCAGCCCGCGGCCCCCUUCUGGCCGGGCUGUCAGCGGCGCGCCGCCCUUCCGGCCUACCCCUUCCUCUGGCGCCAACUCCCCUGUCCCUGCCCCCGAGCAGCCCGCCAGCGCCGCCGACCAGACCUCCGCCCUUCCUCCACCGCCGCUCCUCCUCUGCAGGCCUCUCUCUCUCUCUCUCUCUCUCUCUCUCUCUCUCUCUCUCUCUCUCUCUUGUUUUGUACAGGAUAGUUUUAUGUGAUGAAUUGAUACUUCCUGUAUUGAUUUUUUUUUUCGAAUUGUACAUGCCAUGGUUCCUUGUUAGUUUUUCUUAAAUUUGGCCAGAAUUUGGCUGUUUUUGAACUACUUUUGUUUGUCUGCUUGUGCAAUAAUGGCAAUAUGCCAUUUAUCUUAUUAUUAGACUUGGGAACUAUUUCCUUCAUAUUCUGGCAAAAUUCUGGCCACAUGAUCUCUAUUAGGUUAUGAUUAUUUGAACUGAACUGCAUUUUAGUUGUUAUUUUGCUUGCUGUGUGAACCUGAUGUGUAUUUGCUAUGGUGUGAACUGUAUUUUAGAUGCUAUGUCAAUUACCCAUGUGCCAUGUUUUCUAUUUUCCUGUGUAUAUAGCCAAUUUUUAAAAAAAGGUUAAGCACCCAUUGCUCUAAGCUGUGGCCUUCUGCUUCACUUAUGCUUUCCGCUUUUUGAACAUUGAGUGCCUAUCAGGGCACUAUAUAUUUGUUGUGAUUUUGAGCUGAUCGUCCUCUUCAAUAACUUCUCUUAUAGGUGUAGCCUGCCGAGGUGAAGACUUGGGACGAGAUAAUGGCAAACCUCGCUGAUUCCUUCUUGGCCGAUCUUGACGAACUUUACCGAAAAAGGCUUUCGCCCCGCUUUACAAAUAAAGCAAACCGCCAGAGAGCACAGAUACAUAAUCAAGUCCACACACACACACCCAAGUCUCACAAUAAAGUACAUAGGUUCUGCUGAGGGCACAGCUCAACAAGCCCAGAAAAGAAAAAGGACAGAACACGCCGGACGAAGAAAUCGCCUAGUCUGGCUCCGGCGGAGGCGGCGGGGGCGGCGGCGACAGGCGGACGGCCAUCGAUCGGAGGUCGGCGAUGAAGGCUGAGAUGGCGUCGCAAUCCAGGGGGCGGCUAAGCGGCCGCCAAAGCUGCAAGAAACCCGAGAGUUUGAAAAGAGCGUCAGUAGCCCGACGAAGAGGAGUGCGCUGAAUCACUAGCUUAUUGCGGACAGUCCAGAGGGUCUAGGCGAGGACCCCAAUCUCAAGCCACCUAAUGUGGCGAGAAGUCGCGGGGGACAACUGGAGUUCGGCAAAUAAGUCCGGGAAGUUGGUGUGACACCAAUCUCCACCGACCACUUCGCGAAAACAGCUCCAGAGGAACUGAGCGGAAACACAGGAGAAGAAAAUGUGGUUCGAGUCUUCGGGAACCCCACAGAGUGGGCAGACGCCCGAACCCGGGCCAUUUCGCUUGCGCACCUCCACCCCGGACGGGACCCGGCCGUGGAUCCAUUGCCACAUGAAGAUGCGGCUUUUCAGGGGCAGGCGGAUGGACCACACCAUCGAAAGGGGGAGGGGGGCAGAGGAAGGGGCGAUGGCCAGGUAUAGCGACUUGGUGGAGCCUAUCCCGAAGAAGACAACGCUGAGGCAGUGGGUGUGGAUGAGGAUGGUGACGAUGAUAUGCCUGACCUCGAGUCUCUUAAUUAUGACGAUCUUGACAGUGUCUCAAAACUACAUAAGACACAACGUUAUAUUGACAUAAUGCAAAAAGUCGAAGGAGCGCUUGAGAAAGGCACAGAUUUGUCUAAUCAAGGGUUCAUCCUGGAGGAGGAUCCAGAGUACCAGCUCAUUGUAGAUUGCAAUGCUUUAUCAGUAGAUAUUGAGAAUGAACUCAUUAUAGUCCAUAAUUUCAUACGUGAUAAGUAUCGGCUGAAGUUUCCUGAACUGGAAUCCCUUGUUCAUCAUCCGAUUGAUUAUGCCCAUGUUGUUAAGAAGAUCGCCAAUGAGAUGGAUUCAACACUAGUAGAUCUGGAAGGGCUUUUACCUUCUGCAGUUAUAAUGGUUGUCUCUGUAACAGCGUUGACAACUAGUGGGAAGCCUCUUUCUGAGGAGAAUUUGGUAAAAACCAUUGAAGCAUGUUACAGAGCCCUUAAUCUUGAUGCUGCAAAGAAGAAGGUGCUUGAUUUUGUUGAGGGUAGAAUGGGUUACAUCGCACCAAACCUUUCUGGCAUUGUUGGCAGUGCUGUUGCUGCUAAACUGAUGGGGAUUGCUGGUGGUUUGGGAGCACUGGCAAAAAUGCCUGCUUGCAAUGUUCAGUUACUUGGAGGAAAGAAGAAAACCUUACUGGAUUUUCUACUGCCACAUCUCUCAGUUUCGUGUUGGCUAUCUUGAACAAACCAAAGUAUUUCAGAGCACCCCUCCAGCCCCGAGGACCCGUGCUUGCAGGCUUAUAGCUGCAAAGUCGACUCUAGCAGCAAGAAUCAAUUCGAUUAGAGGUGAUCCAACUGGAAAAGCUGGUCGCAACUUGUUAGAAGAAAUCCGCAAGAAGAUCGAGAAGUGGCAGGAACCACCUCCUGCAAAGCUUCCAAAACCACUUCUGUACCAUACUCCGAGCCUAAAAAGAAGAGAGGGGGUCGCCGCCUUCGAAAAAUGAAAGAAAGAUAUGCGGUAACUGAUAUGAUGAAGCUUGCAAACCGAAUGCAGUUUGGAAUACCAGAGGAGAGCUCAUUAGUUCAGUUGGUUUUGACAGUGAUGGUUUGGGGGAAGGUUAUGGCAUGCUCGGGCAGGCCGGAAGUGGGAAGCUACGUGUCUCAGCUGCACAGAACAAAUUCUCUGCUAAAGUGGACAAAAAAUUCAAGGAGAAGAGUUAUGGUAGGAGUGGUGCAACAUCUGGACUGACAUCUAGUUUGGCCUUUACACCAGUUCAGGGAAUAGAACUGUCAAACCCACAGGCACACGGGAACCUUCUUGGAAGUGGAAUCCAGAGCACCUACUUCUCGGAGACCGGCACAUUUUCUCGGAUCCGUAGGCCUGGAGGUUAGAAUCUGAAAAAGGUGUGGAAGGAUGGCAGAGCACUCUGAGAAUGCGGCAGAGAACAUGAUGAGCGGCAUCAUGGACGCCAUUGCCGACAAGCUCCCCAAGCAAAAGUCUGUCAGGUUCGACGAUGAGGGCUCCAUUUCCGGCCAAGCCAAGAAGCUCUUCGGCGGCCACAAGUCUGUUCACCACAUCCUCGGCGGUGGAGAAUCCGCUGAUGUGCUACUGUGGAGGAACAAGAAGAUCUCAUCGAGCGUUCUUGCUGUUGCAACAGCUGCCUGGGUCUUCUUCGAGUGGCUCGACUACCAUUUCUUGACCAUCGUAUCAUUUGUGCUUGUUCUUGGCAUGGUUGUCCAGUUCGGAUGGUCCAGCUUCGCAGGCAUGCUCAAUGGGUCUCCUUCUAAUGUGCCCCGUGUGGAGUUACCAGAAGAGCUGUUUGCAAACAUCGGCGCAGCUGUCGGCGCCCAGGUGAACAAAUUCUUGGGAAGCCUUCAGGAUGUGUCCUGUGGAAGAGACCUGAAGCAGUUCCUCAUGGUGAUCGCCGGGUUCAUUGUCACCGCUUUCAUCGGGAGCUGGUUCAGUCUCAUCACCGUCAUCUACAUCGUGCUCUGUUGCAGGGUUUGUGUGUGCACACACUCUACCAGUGUUCUAUGAGAGGUAUCAUGAUCAAGUCGAUGAGGUGCUGUACAACAUGCUUGGCUUGAUUGGGAGUCAGUACCAGAAGCUUGACAAGGGCGUCUUGAGCAAGAUGCCUAAAGGGAACCUCAAGUUGAGGAAGAGCCAGUAGUAGUUGGAUUCACCAACGGAACAUCUAUGCCUGUGAUCCGGAUGAACUUGUUAGAAUUAAUGGGUUUGACCAUGUGCAUUUCCAGAAAUUCCAAAAGCCUAUGAAUAAAUGGUAAGACGUGGUGCAAAUCUUUAAUCCCAUAUCGCUACCAUCUUAUCAAAAAGGCUUUCGCCCUGCUUUAUAUAUAAAGCAAUGAUCAACAACAUCCGGUACAAACGCACGCCCCCACAAUACAUGCACACACACCCAAGGCAGGAUACAUAGGCGCUGUGCGCAGCAACACCAUCCCUAGCACUACAAGAGCAGUCGGGGGAUACAGUUGUGAACACGUCACCGUGAAGAAGUAAAGCCGCAUAUGACGAACCGUGGGCUCCAAGAUGGUGCCUUCAGGAAGGGGACGACUGGGGCACCGCCACCGUCUGAUCCAACGAUCAGAGUUUUCCCUUGAGCAACAUGACCGGCAACGAGAGCCGCGACGACGCCUUCAAGAAGGGAACGAGCUUCGCCGCCGCCGGUCCGUCCAAAGAAAGAGCAGAUUUUCACCCCGGCCAUCACUCACCGCCACCGAAUGCCACACCCCAGCUACCACGCCGCUCACACGGCCGUGGCAACCGGGCAGCACCAAGUGAUACGUCUCCAACGUAUCUAUAAUUUUUGGUUGUUCCAUGCUGUUAUAUUAUCAUUCUUGGAUGUUUUAGAGUCAUUUUAUAUCAUUUUUUGAUACUAACCUAUUGACAUAGUGCCCAGUGUCAGUUGCUGUUUUCUGCAUGUUUUUACAUCGCAGGAAAUCAAUAUCAAACGGAGUCCAAACGCAACAAAACUUUUUGAGGAUUUUUUUGGGCCAGAAGACAUCUAGUGGGCCAGAAAAGCACCUGGGGGUGCUCCGAGGAGAGCACUACCCACCAAGGCGCGCUUGGGGGCCCAGGCGCGCCCCGGUGGGUUGUGCCCACCUCGGGUGCCCCCUGAACCGCCUCUUUGCUUUAUAAAUACCCCAAUAUUCCAGAAACCCUAGAGGGGUCGGCGAAAAUCAAUUCCAACCGCCGCAGAGUCCAGAAACAUCAGAUCCAAUCUAGACACCAUCUCGGAGGGGUGCAUCAUGUCCAUUGGUGCCUCUCCAAUGAUGCGUGAGUAGUUCUUUGUAGACCUACGGGUCCCUAGAUGGCUUCCUCUCUCUCUCACACACACACUCUCUUUCUCUCUCUCUCUCCCCCUCUCUCUUGAUUAUCAAUACAAUGGUCUCUUGGAGAUCCAUAUGAUGUAGGUCUUUUUGCGUGUGUUUGUUGGGAUCCGAUGAACCUUGAGUUUAUGAUCAGAUCUAUGUUUUUA
rnacentral:rRNA from 1 species